CUUGGCCAUCAAUGCAGUACCAAAACCACCUUGAUAAUUAUUACUUGAUGGAACAUUUUCUAAGACACCAGGACAUGGAUUAUAAAGAUCACUUGACCAACACCGCCCUGUACUUUUGCUUAUAACUUCAGCAAGUAGUUUAGGAUCCAAGCCUAGAUUUUGACCAAGAUUCAUAGCUUCUGAUGUACCAAUCAUUGAUAUUGCUAACAGCAGAUUAUUGCAUAUUUUCACUGCCU
rnacentral:lncRNA from 1 species